rnacentral:rRNA from 1 species
AGUGAACGCUGGCGGUAGGCCUAACACAUGCAAGUCGAACGGCAGCACAGUAAGAGCUUGCUCUUACGGGUGGCGAGUGGUGGACGGGUGAGGAAUACAUCGGAAUCUACUUUUUCGUGGGGGAUAACGUAGGGAAACUUACGCUAAUACCGCAUACGACCUACGGGUGAAAGCAGGGGAUCUUCGGACCUUGCGCGAUUGAAUGAGCCGAUGUCGGAUUAGCUAGUUGGCGGGGUAAAGGCCCACCAAGGCGACGAUCCGUAGCUGGUCUGAGAGGAUGAUCAGCCACACUGGAACUGAGACACGGAUCAGACUCCUACGGGAGGCAGCAGUGUGAAAUGUUGGACAAUGGGCGCAAGCCUGAUCCAGCCCUACCGCGUGGGUGAAGAAGGCCUUCGGGUUUUAAAGCCCUUUUGUUGGGAAAGAAGAGCAGCAGAUUAAUACCCCGCUGUUCUGACGGUACCCAAAGAAUAAGCACCGGCUAACUUCGUG